GAGAGAAUGUGUGUGUGACAAAGAAUUAAUAAGAUAUAGGAAAAGUAAAUGAGCAGCAAAUAGUAUUAGAGAGCGGCUAAUGACAUAUGAGAGAGUGAGCGUAGAUGUUAGACAAGAUUAAAGUGUUUGAGAAAGAAAGAUAGGGAGAAAGAGACAGACAGAGAGAGACUGAAUGUUACUCAAAAAGAAGUAUAAGGGAGAGUAAGAAGUUAAGCGAAAAUGAGAGGUACUUGUUAAACAAGUAUUAGAGAUAAAGUAAUAAAAGAGAGUUUGUAGGUGAAAGAUAGAGGGGAGUAAAAGAGUGAGUGAGAAAAGCAAGUUUCUAUGUUGAACAAGAGAGAGAGAGAGGGAAAGAGAGUGGAGGGAGAAGGAGAAAUGUGUAAGUGGGCUUGGCAAGUUUUCUAAACUAGUGUUCGCAAAGCGGUUCGUCUCAGGAAAAUUUAUUGCUAUAUAACGGCAUUGGAUCCUCAGAUCGCAACUUUUAGAUACCGAUCUAAACCAACUUCAUAUUUGCUGACUUUUAUCUUCAACACUUAUUCUUUUUUCAUCUGCACAACUCCUGGUGGAAAGCAUAAAGAUGAUGAAAAAAUCUUCCACAUGGCGUAGCUGGGGUGGCUCUUACCAUGGCCCACGGCAGGUGUUUGAACAGAAGCUUUCUGUCAUGUAUGACAAACACCAGCAACACAUGGAUGUGCUGCGUUUAGCUUAUGAAAAUUCACUAAAGGUUGCUUUGAUGUUAAUGGAAAGUGAAAAAUCUCCAGAAGCUGUUACAGAAUACCACAAGAGAGUUGCAGAUUCCCUGGCAACUUAUGAGGCUAAUGUGGAAAGGAUCUGGAAAAAAUAUGACGAGGUGACUGCUGACAUUCUGGCAGAUUAUACAAGUAAAAUGAAAAUCAGUGGAAACAAAAGAAACUCUAACAUUGAGCAAGAUGAAAAGCAAUAGGUUACUAAGGUUGUCUUAUAUUUUAACUGUUGAAAUAAAUUUUUAAAAAAAUUUUAAUGAAAAAAAUUACCUCAUCAGAUGAAUAACAAGUAUAGUUUGGAGAAACUAACUUAUAGUAAUUUAUCAUAUCACUCAGUAAUGAUAUUUUUCUAUAUGUAUUUUGUCAUUAAUUUGUAAUACGAAAAUUAAUUUCCUUUU